AUUGAACGCUGGCGGCAUGCUUUACACAUGCAAGUCGAACGGUAACAGGUCUUCGGGUGCCGGCGAGUGGCGAACGGGUGAGUAAUAUAUCGGAACGUACCUUUCAGUGGGGGAUAACGUAGCGAAAGUUACGCUAAUACCGCAUAUUCUGUGAGCAGGAAAGCAGGGGAUCGCAAGACCUUGCGCUGAUUGAGCGGCCGAUAUCAGAUUAGCUAGUUGGUGAGGUAAAGGCUCACCAACGGCGACGAUCUGUAGCGGGUCGUGAGAGGAUGAUCCGCCACACUGGAACUGAGACACGGUCCAGACUCCUACGGGAGGCAGCAGUGGGGAAUUUUGGACAAUGGGCGCAAGCCUGAUCCAGCCAUGCCGCGUGAGUGAAGAAGGCCUCGG
rnacentral:rRNA from 1 species